GGUUAAGCGACUAAGCGUACACGGUGGAUGCCCUGGCAGUCAGAGGCGAUGAAGGACGUGCUAAUCUGCGAUAAGCGUCGGUAAGGUGAUAUGAACCGUUAUAACCGGCGAUUUCCGAAUGGGGAAACCCAGUGUGAUUCGUCACACUAUCAUUAACUGAAUCCAUAGGUUAAUGAGGCGAACCGGGGGAACUGAAACAUCUAAGUACCCCGAGGAAAAGAAAUCAACCGAGAUUCCCCCAGUAGCGGCGAGCGAACGGGGAGCAGCCCAGAGCCUGAAUCAGUGUGUGUGUUAGUGGAAGCGUCUGGAAAGGCGCGCGAUACAGGGUGACAGCCCCGUACACAAAAAUGCACAUACUGUGAGCUCGAUGAGUAGGGCGGGACACGUGGUAUCCUGUCUGAAUAUGGGGGGACCAUCCUCCAAGGCUAAAUACUCCUGACUGACCGAUAGUGAACCAGUACCGUGAGGGAAAGGCGAAAAGAACCCCGGCGAGGGGAGUGAAAAAGAACCUGAAACCGUGUACGUACAAGCAGUGGGAGCACAGAGCAAUCUGUGUGACUGCGUACCUUUUGUAUAAUGGGUCAGCGACUUAUAUUCUGUAGCAAGGUUAACCGAAUAGGGGAGCCGAAGGGAAACCGAGUCUUAACUGGGCGUUAAGUUGCAGGGUAUAGACCCGAAACCCGGUGAUCUAGCCAUGGGCAGGUUGAAGGUUGGGUAACACUAACUGGAGGACCGAACCGACUAAUGUUGAAAAAUUAGCGGAUGACUUGUGGCUGGGGGUGAAAGGCCAAUCAAACCGGGAGAUAGCUGGUUCUCCCCGAAAGCUAUUUAGGUAGCGCCUCGUGAAUUCAUCUCCGGGGGUAGAGCACUGUUUCGGCAAGGGGGUCAUCCCGACUUACCAACCCGAUGCAAACUGCGAAUACCGGAGAAUGUUAUCACGGGAGACACACGGCGGGUGCUAACGUCCGUCGUGAAGAGGGAAACAACCCAGACCGCCAGCUAAGGUCCCAAAGUCAUGGUUAAGUGGGAAACGAUGUGGGAAGGCCCAGACAGCCAGGAUGUUGGCUUAGAAGCAGCCAUCAUUUAAAGAAAGCGUAAUAGCUCACUGGUCGAGUCGGCCUGCGCGGAAGAUGUAACGGGGCUAAACCAUGCACCGAAGCUGCGGCAGCGACGCUUAUGCGUUGUUGGGUAGGGGAGCGUUCUGUAAGCCUGCGAAGGUGUGCUGUGAGGCAUGCUGGAGGUAUCAGAAGUGCGAAUGCUGACAUAAGUAACGAUAAAGCGGGUGAAAAGCCCGCUCGCCGGAAGACCAAGGGUUCCUGUCCAACGUUAAUCGGGGCAGGGUGAGUCGACCCCUAAGGCGAGGCCGAAAGGCGUAGUCGAUGGGAAACAGGUUAAUAUUCCUGUACUUGGUGUUACUGCGAAGGGGGGACGGAGAAGGCUAUGUUGGCCGGGCGACGGUUGUCCCGGUUUAAGCGUGUAGGCUGGUUUUCCAGGCAAAUCCGGAAAAUCAAGGCUGAGGCGUGAUGACGAGGCACUACGGUGCUGAAGCAACAAAUGCCCUGCUUCCAGGAAAAGCCUCUAAGCAUCAGGUAACAUCAAAUCGUACCCCAAACCGACACAGGUGGUCAGGUAGAGAAUACCAAGGCGCUUGAGAGAACUCGGGUGAAGGAACUAGGCAAAAUGGUGCCGUAACUUCGGGAGAAGGCACGCUGAUAUGUAGGUGAAGUCCCUCGCGGAUGGAGCUGAAAUCAGUCGAAGAUACCAGCUGGCUGCAACUGUUUAUUAAAAACACAGCACUGUGCAAACACGAAAGUGGACGUAUACGGUGUGACGCCUGCCCGGUGCCGGAAGGUUAAUUGAUGGGGUUAGCGCAAGCGAAGCUCUUGAUCGAAGCCCCGGUAAACGGCGGCCGUAACUAUAACGGUCCUAAGGUAGCGAAAUUCCUUGUCGGGUAAGUUCCGACCUGCACGAAUGGCGUAAUGAUGGCCAGGCUGUCUCCACCCGAGACUCAGUGAAAUUGAACUCGCUGUGAAGAUGCAGUGUACCCGCGGCAAGACGGAAAGACCCCGUGAACCUUUACUAUAGCUUGACACUGAACAUUGAGCCUUGAUGUGUAGGAUAGGUGGGAGGCUUUGAAGUGUGGACGCCAGUCUGCAUGGAGCCGACCUUGAAAUACCACCCUUUAAUGUUUGAUGUUCUAACGU
rnacentral:rRNA from 1 species